rnacentral:rRNA from 1 species
ACGCACGCUGGCGGCGUGCUUCACCCGUGCAAGUCGAACGAUGAAGAAGAGAAACGCGAACUUCGGUUCAAAUUUCACUUCGGAUUAGUGGCAGACGGGUGAGUAACGCGUGAGCAACCUACCUCUUACAAAGGGAUAGCCUCGGGAAACCGUGAUUAAUACCAUAUGACACAUUCAUAAGGCAUCUUAAGAAUGUUAAAGCUACGGCGGUAAGAGAUGGGCUCGCGUCCCAUUAGCUAGUUGGUGAGGUAACGGCCCACCAAGGCGACGAUGGGUAACCGGGCUGAGAGGGUGAACGGUCACAUUGGAACUGAGACACGGUCCAAACUCCUACGGGAGGCAGCAGUGGGGAAUAUUGCACAAUGGAGGGAACUCUGAUGCAGCGACGCCGCGUGAGCGAUGAAGGAAUUCGUUUCGUAAAGCUCUGUUCUAUGGGAAGAAAAGGACUGUACCAUAGGAGAAAGCCCCGGCUAAAUACGUG